UCUUCAGAACAUACUUCACUGAGCAGAUACUGUAAAACAUAACAUUUUACUGAAGCUGUACAGAUGCAAGUUCUUUCUACAAGAGCAAACGGUUUUAUUUAAUAAACAAGAUUCUGCAGUCACUGGAAAUCUUGAGGAACAUGCACAAAGUGCUGGAUGAACUCAACAGGUCAGGCAGCAUCUACGGAGAGGAAUAAAAAGUUGAUGUUUCAGGUUGAGACCUGAUAAACCAACUCCAGUUCAUCCAAGAGCUGUGCAUUCAAAGUAUUUAUACCAUAUACAACCUUAAGAUUCAUUUUCUUGCAGGUGUCCACAGGUGUACAGAGUACAGAAGUAUCCAGGAAAGACCACACAUAACAAAGACCGACAAACACCAAAUCUGCAAAAAUUAAUUAAUUGCGCAGAUCACUGUUCUGAAAGCUACCUGCAGAUUUUAUUUAACACGUCAGUCAUUCACAUGAUUUCCAGUGUUUGCUUUUGUUUAUUUUCAUGAGGUUUUCUUUGCUUGUUUUUUUUUAAAAAAAAAGUCUCCUGUUGCAAAAUUUGGUGCAGAACGGAGUAACACAUGGCUAGUUGGGAACAAGCUGGUCAUGGUGACCAUCAGCAGUGGUGUAGGAACGAGAGCACUCAUGGGCCUUCACGCCGACUGUAUAUUCCUCUCCGUAGACGCUGGCUAACUCACUAUGAUUGGUCCCUAUGAAUGGAGGAGAGCUGGGCACAGAGUUCACAAUCCCAUCCCAUAAUAUGGUGAAACUACAGGAACACCAGCAGCAGCUCUGAAGACCUCAAUCCUGGGAGAGGAAGGAUCUUUGCUUAGAAGACAAACAAAAUCGUGUGGCAAAGCGGAAGUACCAGGGCUGAUCAAUGUUCCAAAUCAGGACCUCUGGCAAGCUGCCCCAGUAGGGGUAAUGGACAUAAGAAGUCCCUAAUGUAUCUGCCUCUAUCACCACCACAGGCAGUACAUUCCAGGCACCUGCCACUCAGUGUAAAUAAAAACUUUCCCCUCCCGUCUUCUUUGAAAAGAAGGAGACAACCCCUGUGUGACCUAAAAUCCUCCAGCUCUUUGCCUGUUUAUUUAAUAAAUGCCAUUUUGUGUAUACACAAGGGCAUGGAGUAAAACAGAAUUCCACAUGCAAUCAAUACUACUCAGCUUUGAUCCACUAACAAUCAUUACCCAAUUUGUGCAAUCAUUUGCCCUGCAAAUAUUUACAGUUAUAUAUUUUACUGUUUGACAAGGAUGUAAUCCAAACUAAUUAGAGGAUGAUGCUGAAAUUAAGUACUUGAUUUAAUUGUUAUGUAAAUAUUUUUUUUAAAUUAGGGCUUAUUCUCUUCCAUCUCAUUCUCCAUUCAAUGAACACGAGGCACCUCUGACCAAUUACUGAUUUUUGGAAGAGAAACUCUGCUCACAUGGACUUUAUUAUGCUCUAUGCUCAAAUGCUGCAGAUUUGGUAUCAAUCCAAUAUCACUUUUCUUUCCUCAGCAUGCAUGAGCAGAAUAAAACGCAGCUCCUGCAUACUUGUCACUGUGUCAAACUACUGGAGCUCUCUACCAGACAUCACACUCGAGCACCGAGGCUAGGAUUCGUGUCUGAGGCUCCAUAGCAGUUACUACCCCUCAACCCUCAAGCUCUUGAACCAAAAAAAAACAGAUAACUUCACUCGCCCCAUCAUUGAAACAAGACCAUAAGACAUAGGAGCAGAAUUAUGCCACUCAUCCGAUUGAGUCUGCUCUGCCAUUCCAUCAUGGCUGAUCCCAGAUCUCACUCAACCCCAUAAACCUGCCUUCUCGCCAUAUCCUUUGAUGUCCUGUCCAAUCAGGAAACUAUCAACUUCCACCUUAAAUGUACCCACAGACUUGGCCUUCACCGCAGUCUGUGGCAGAGCAUUUCACAGGUUUGCUACACACUAGCUAAAAACAUUCCUCCUUGCCUCAAUUUUGAGGCUGUGCCCUCUAGUUCUGGAUACCCCCACCACAGGCAACAUCUUCUCCACAUCCACCCUAUCUAAGUCCUUCAAACAUCCGGUAGGUUUCAAUGAGACCCCCUCCACAUUCUUCUAAAUUCCAGCGAGUACAGAGCCAAAGAUGCCAAGCACUUGUCAUGUUAACCACUUCAUUCCCUGAAUCAUCCCCGUGAAUCUUCUCUGGACUGUUUCCAAUGACAACACAUCCAUUCUGAGAUAUGGGGCCCAAAACUGCUGGCAAUACUCCAAAUGCAGCCUGACUAGAGUCUUAAAAAGCUUCAGCAUUACGUCCUUGCUCUUAUAUUCUAUUCCCCUUGAAAUAAAUGCAACAUUGCAUUUGCCUUCUUCACCACGGGCUCAACCUGUAAAUUAACCUUCUGGGAGUCUCCGAAGUCCCCUCUGCACCUCUGAUGUUUGAACCUUCUCCCCAUUUAGAUAAUGGUGCACACUUUUGUUCCUUUUACCGAAAUGCAUCAUCAUACAUUUCCCAACACUGAAUUCCAUCUGCCACCCUUUUGCCCAUUCUUCCAAUUUGUCCAAGUCCUGCUGCAAUCACAUUGUUUUUUCAGCACUACUUACCACUCCAUGUGCGUAUCACCCACAAAUUUUGCCAAAGCCAUCGAUUCCAUUAUCUAAAUCACUGACAAACAAUGUGAAAAGUAGUGGCUCCAAUAUUGACCCCUGAGGAACACCACUAGUCACCAGCAGCCAACCAGAAAAGGCCCCUUUAUUCCCACUCACUGACUCCUGUCUGUCAGCCAUUUUGCUAUCCAUGCCACACACACAAAAUGCUGGUGGAACGCAGCAGGCCAGGCAGCAUCUAUAGGAAGAAGUAUUGCCGAGACCCUUCAUCAGGACUAACUGAAAGAAAAGAUAGUAAGAGAUUUGAAAGUGGGGGGGGGGCGGGGACAAUCCAAAAUGAUAGGAGAAGACAGGAAGACAGGAAGGGGAGGGAUGAAGCUAAGAGCUGGAAAGGUGAUUGGCAAAAGGGAUACAGAGCUGGAAAAGGGAAAGGAUCAUGGGACAGGAGGCCUCGGGAGAAAGAAAGGGGGAAGGGAGCAUCAGAGGGAGAUGGAGAACAGGCAAGGAGUGAUUAUGAGAGAGGCAGAGAGGAAAAAAAUAGAAAAAAGGGAGAAUAAUAAAUAAGGGAUAGGGUAAGAAGGGGAGGAGGGGCAUUAACAGAAAUUAGAUAAAUCAGUGUUCAUGCCAGCAGGUUGGAGGCUACCCAGCCGGUAUACAAGCUGUUGCUCCUGCAACCUCAGUGUGCAUUCAUCUCGACAGUAGAGGAAGCCAUGGAUAGACAUAUCAGAAUGGGAAUGGAACGUGGAAUUAAAAUAUGUGGCCACUGGGAGGUCCUGCUUUCUCUGGCGGACAGAGCGUAGGUGUUCAGCGAAACGGUCUCCCAGUCUGUGUUGGGUCUCACUAAUAUAUAAAAGGCCACACCGGGAGCACUGGACGCAGUAUACCACACCAGCCGACUCACAGGUGAAGUGUCGCCUCACCUGGAAGGACUGUCAGGGGCCCUGAAUGGUGGUGAGGGAGGAAGUGUAAGGGCAGGUGUAGCACUUGUUCCGCUUACAAGGAUAAGUGCCAGGAGGGAGAUCAGUGAGAAGGGAUGGGGGGGAGGGGGGAAAUGAAUGGACAAGGGAGUCGCGUAGGGAGUGAUCCCUGCAGAAAGCAGAAGGGAGGGGAGGGAAAGAUGUGCUUGGUAGCGGGAUCCCAUUGGUGGUGGCGUAAGUUACGGUGAAUUAGAUAUUGAACCCGGAGGCUCGGGGGUGGUAGGUGAGGACAAGGGGAACCCUAUCCCGAGUGGGGUGGUGAGCGGAUGGGGUGAGGAUGGAUGUGUGGGAAAUGGGAGAAAUGCGUUUGAGAGCAGAGUUUAUGGUGGAGGAAGGUAAGCCCCUUUCUUUAAAAAAAGACAUCUCCUUCAUCCUGGAAUGAAAAGCCUCAUUCUGAGAGCAGAUAAGGCACCUGCUGCAUUCCACCAGUACUUUCGGUGUGUUGCUUGAAUUUCCAGCAUAUGCAGAUUUCUUCGUGUUUGUCUUCUAUUUUAUCUUGUUAAGCAGCCUCACGUGUGGCACCGAACAAAUGCCUUCUGAAAAUCCAAGCAAACAACCACCACUGCCUCUCCUUUGUCUUUUGUGAAGAACUCUUAAGAGGUUUGUCAGGCAAUAUUUCCCUUUACAGAAACCAUACUGAUUUUGACUCAUUUUAUCAUUAGUCUCCAAGUACCUCCAAACCUUAUUCUUAAUGAUAGACUGCAACACUUUCCCAACUACUGAGAUUAGGCUAAUUGGCCUCUAAUUUCCUUUCUUUUGCCUUCCUCCCUUCUUAAAAAGUGGAGUGACAUUUGCAAUUUUCCAGUCCUCUGGGACCAUGCCAGAAUCAAGUGAUUCUUGAAAUAAUCACUUCAUUAUUUCUUCAUUUCUUAUAAUCAUUAUUUCUUCAGCAACCUCUCUCAGGACUCUGGGAUGUAGUCCAUCUGGUCCACAUGACUUAUCCACCUUAAGACCUUUGGUUUUGCCUGGCACUUUUUCCUUUGUAAUAGCAAAGGCACUCAGUCCUGCUCCCUGACACUCACAGACCUCUGGCACACUGCUGGUGUCUUCCACAGUGAAGACUGAUGCAAAAUAUCCAUUAGGUUCAUCUGCAAUUUCUUUGAUCCCAAUUACUACCUUGCCACAUUAUUUUCCAAUGGUCCAAUAGCAACUCUCACCCCCCCCCCCUUUUACUCUUUAUAUAACUGAAAAAAAAAAUGUUGGUAUCCUGCUUUAUAUUAUUGGCUAACUUGCCCUCAUAUUUCAUCUUUUCCCUUCUUAUUGCUUUUUUAGUUGCCUUUUGUUGAGUAUUAAAAGCUUCCCAACCACUUAAUUUCCCCACUCACUUUUGCUACCUUAUAUGCCCUUUCCUUGGCUUUGAUGUGGUCCUUAACUUCCUUUGUCAGCCACGGUUGCCCACCCCUGCCAUUUGAGAAUGUCUUCCUCUGUGGGAACUAUUCACAGAAACUUCAAUUAUCUCUGCUCCGCAGUCUUCUCCGCCAGCAUCCUUCUCCAAUCCACCUGGGCAAGCUCCUCACUCAUGCCUCUGUAAUUCCCUUUAUUCCACUGUGAUAUCAAUGCUAUGCUCCCUAAUAAGAUCUGGGUUAUUAAAUAACACCCAAUCUAAGAUAGCCGAUCCAAGAGUAGGCUCAAGCACAAGUUGUUCUAAAAAGCCAUCUCAUAAAAAGCCUUUCAACAAAUUCCCUCAACACCAACCUGAUUUUCCCAAUCCCCUUGUAUAUUGAAGUCCCCCAUUAUAAUCAUAUCAUUACCCUUAUUACAUACUUUUUCCAGCUCCCUUUGCAAUCUCAACCCCGCUAUCUUGGCUACUAUUUGGAGGCCUAUACAGGCACCUGUUAGUCUUGUGAGACCAUGGACUUGCGCCUUGGAAGGUUUUUCCAGGGCGCAGGCCUGGGCAGGGUUGUAUGGGAGACCGGCAGUUGCCCAAGCUGCAGGCCUUCCCCUCUCCACGCCACAGAUGAUGUCCAAGGGAAGGGCACUAGGACCCAAGCAGCUUGGCACCGGUGUCAUUGCAGAGCAGUGUGUUGUUAAGUGUCUUGCUCAAGGACACAAUGCGCUGCCUCAGCUGAGGCUCGAACCAGUGACCUUCAGAUCACUAGACCAAUGCCUCAUCCACCAGGCCAUGAGCCAACACGGAGGCCUAUAUACGAUUCCCAUAACUUUUUUCUACCCUUCCAAUUUCUUAGCUCCACCCACAAAGAUUCAACAUUCUCUGACCCUAUAUAACCUCUUUCUGAAGAUGUAAUUCCAUCUCUUACCAAGAGAGCUACACCACUACCUAUGCCUUGCUGCCUGUCCUUUUGAUACAAAAUAUAUCCUUUGAUGUUAAACUCCCAACUAUGGCCUUCUUUCAGCCACAACUCAUGACACCCACAACGUCACACUAACCAAUCUCUAACUACACAAUUUCGUCCACCUUAUUCCAAUUGCUAAGCACAUUUAAGUACAGCACCUUCAGUCCUGCAUUCUUUGCCCUUUUGAAUUUUGCCUCUGUGGUACAAUUUAAACUCUUUGCACUAUCUGCUUUUGUACCCAAUCACUGGCUUAUCCUUCCUUACAUUCAUGUGACACCCAUCAUCUACUUGUAAACCUGCUGGCUCAUCCUCAGCUCUAUCAUACUGGCUCCCAUCCCCCUGCCAUAUUAGUUUAAAACAAUUAGUUAAAUGUUCCCAAUGGACUCACAUUCAAAGACUCUUCAUUUCAUGUGCUCAAUAUUUAUUAUUAAUAUUUCUUUCUUUUGGUAUUUGCAUAGUUCAUUGUCUUCUGCACUCUGGUUUAAUAUCCAAGAUGGGCAGUCUUUCAUUGAUUCUUUUAUGGUUAUUAUUCUAUAGUAGGAAUUCCCAACCUUUUUUAUACCAUGGACCCCUACCAUCAACUGAGAGGCCUGUGGACUUCAGGUUGGAAUCCCUGUUCUACAGAUUUAUUGAGUAUUCCCACAAGGCAAUGAACCUCAAGGUUGUACAUGAUGACAUACAUGUACUUUGAUAAUGGACAUGCUUUGAACUUUUCGAACAGACUAUUGUGACUGUGAUGGUCUUAGGUCAGUGAUCCCAAAGGUCGAGUCAGCAGGUGCCGAGCAGACGAGUGAUCCCCAAGUUGCUUUACCCUGGAUUGUUGGUCCGUAUGGACAGCAGCCAAUGAGGGCUAGUGGCCACCCAGGUCACCGGGUUCAGAGGGCUGAGCGAGUCCAGAGGUCAAGGCCUGCAAGUCAAACCACUGAUCCUGUGGUCAACAUCCGAAGCAAAGCCAAAGGUUGAAGUCCAGAGCUCAGCGACUCCGGAGGUACAGGCCCAAAGGUUGAAGUCCAGAGCUCAGCGACUCUGGAGGUACAGGCCCAAAGGUUGAAGUCCAGAGCUCAGCGACUCCAGAGGUACAGGCCCAAAGGCUGAAGUCCAGAGCUCAGCGACUCCGGAGGUACAGGCCCAAAGGUUGAAGCCCCUGGGAUGGCUUAUCUGGAGGCCAGAGACAAAUGUCAGAGAGUCUAGGCCAGAGACUGGAUAUGGAGAUAUAUGUGAGCCUGAGUCCGGGGCCUAAGGCUGGAGGCCGCACCCUGGUGUUGGAGGCCCGUCUGUAGUGUGUAGGAAGGAAGGAAAGAGGCUCAUUUUGUAAUGUGUUGCUCGAGUUCUUCUGCUGAAGAUCUUGGGCAUGGUAUACCGGUGCCAGAAUAUGUGACAACACUUGCAGGCUGCCCCCAGCACAUCCUUAGGCUGCCUUGGUUGUUAACGCAAACAACGGAUUUCACUGUGUAUGUGUGAUGAACAACGUCCCGGGGUCAGAAAGCAGUGACUUCAACUCUCUUUCCAAAAUCCUGAGCGCACAAUCUUGGCUGCCCCUGGUGCUGAACUGAAGGUGGGGUGGGGUGGGAUGCAGCAUGGUCUGAACAACAAACUUUUGGAUGCGAUAUUACAUUUAGAUGACUCAUGUCCUCUCAGAUGCCACUAAAGAUAGCAUGGCUCUAUCAGAACAAGAGCGGGAAGUUUCCCUGUUAAGCUGUUGGGGUUUGUCCUUCAGCCAAUACCACUGAAGCACAUUACCUUCAUCUCACGGCUGCUUGUGGGAGUUUGCACUACACAGACCGCAUGACAGGAGAUUACUUCUCAGGCAGCGAAAUAUUUUGGGAUGCUCUCAGAGAUGCAUCACAGAAACAAAUUCACUCUGUCCUUCGACCACCCAGUUACACCAAUUCUACACUGACACCUUAUUUUUAAAUUGUUUAGAGAUAUAGUAACAGAUCCUUCAUGCCAAUCAAUUACACCCAUUUAAGCAAAUAAUCUACUAACCUAUUCAGUCUUUGGGACAUAGGAAGAGACUGGAGGAAACCUACAUUGUCACGGGGAAACAAUGUGCAAACUUCUUACAGACAGUAGCAGGAAUUGCCAUCCCAAUUUGGGAACUCCGCCUGGAUUCUACCACUCACCUACAAAGUAGAGGCAAUUUAUUGAGGUUGAGCAACCUACCCACCCGAGUCUUUCGAGAUAUGGGAGGAAACUGCAGCACCUGGAAGAAGCUUGCAAACUCCACACAGGCAGCGUCCAAGGUUUGGACUCUGGUGCCCGACAGGCAGAAGCUCUACCAACUAAACCACUCUGCUGCACUACUCAGGUUAAAAAUAACACUGCAUUCAUAUUGCGCCUUUCGAUUUUAUUGUCAAAUAAUAACGCUUCCUUCCCCAUAGGUAGCGGGCGCUGUGGUCUAUGGAAGUUUCUGAAAAUAACUUUGUAUCAGGAAAGCCUUCAUGCCUCACAUUUACCCACACCACUUCAAAAGCUGUUGCCUCAAAGGGGGGCAUCCAUCAGCAAGGACUCCCCUCACCCAGGACAUGGCCUCUUCUCAUUCCUACCAUCGGGGAGGUGGUACAAGAGACUGAAGACACACACUCAGUGAUUCAGGAACAGUUUCAAUCAGACUUCUGAGUAGAUAAUGAACUCAUUAACGCUACCUCACUAUUUCUGAUAUUGGUACUACUUAUCUAUAUUUUUUCCUUAUUGUAAUUCUGCUGCCGUAAAAUGAUGAAUUUCGCAACAUACGUCAAUGAUAUAAAACCGGAUUCUGAGAAGUAUACCAACUAUCGUCAAUGCCAACGGAUAGAUGGUGGACAAGAGCAAAACCAAAUAAAACUCCCUUAAUCAGAACAUCUGUAUAUACUAAAGUCACCACUGGGAAUUAAAGAUCAAUAGCGACAGUAAUUGCGAGAGUACAACAUGACAGACGGUACAUUUGAAGAGUAAAUGCUAGAGGAAAUAACGAAGUCAGACAGCAUCUAGAGGGAAAUAAACAGUUAAUGUUUCAGACAGAGAUCCAUCAUCAGGAUGGAAAGGAAGGAGGAGCAGGAAUAUUUUGUUUUUUCUAUUCCUAAGUACAUGGACUGAAGUACGAGCAAAUACUUUUCAACUAGUCUGCUGCUCUGUACUUCCCAUGCACAAACAAAUCUUUCUCACUUUGAACAAUUCACGUACCAGUUCUUUUAAAAAUUCCAACGGCAUCUGCUUCUGUGAACUCACCACACCACAAUUCUAACCCUCCCCCAGAGUUGACAUCAUAACACCCUGGAUUCACCAAUUCCAGCUUAGUCUGCAGUUCUUUCUUCAUACGGUUAUACCACAGAAUCCUAAAAUGUGCUGUGCAUCAGUAUCUAUUGAGAACAGCGAAUCAGACAAGUAUUUAUUUUAUUUAGCAUAGUAACAGGCCCUUCCAGCCCAAUGAGCCAGCGUUCCGCAAUUACACCCAAGUGACCAAUUAACCUAUCAUGUGGGAAACUGGAACACUGGAGGAAACCUACACCGUCACUGCGAGGAUGUGCAAACUCCUCAUAGACAGUGGCGGGUGUUGAACCUGGGUCCCUGGUGCUGUAAUCGUGUCAUGCUAAAGGAUCCAAGAUAACUAAAAGUUGAAAUGCCUUUGCAGUUGGAUGUACGCCCAGGCUAAUAGUACACCAAGGUCAACUUAGGCAGAAAACCAUUGCCUGGUCAAAAUACUAAACCUAUCAUAUAAAAAUCCAAUAUAACUCUGCAGGCCAUGGAAACCUGGUGGCCAUCUUGGAAAACGAAUCCUUUUCCUCUUUCCACAGAUACUGACUGGCAUUUUUACCCCCAGAUUUUUCUGCUGUUACUUCAACCCACAUACAAACUUGUGUCCAGUCUCUGUAUUCAUUGCCUUGAAGUCAUAGAAAAGGACAGCACAGAAACAGGACCUUCAGGCCCAUUUAGUCCAUGCCAACCCAUUUAAACAGCCUAGUUCCAUCACCCUGCACCCGGACCAUUGCCCACCCACCCAUCCAUAUACCUAUCCAAACUUCUCAAACGUUGAAACUGAAAUCACAUGCGCCACUUACACUGACAGCUCGUUCCACACUCUCACCACCCUGAGUGAAAUUCCCCCUCAUGUUCCUUUAACCUCUAGCUAUAGUCUCCCUCAACCUCUGUGGGGAAAAAGCCUGCUUGCCUCUACCCUAUCUAUACCCCUCAAAAUUUUGCAUACCUGUAUCAAAUCUCCCAAUCUUCUACAUUCUAGGGAAUAAAGUUCUAACCUAUUCAAUCUUUCCUGAUAACUUGGCAACAUUCUUGUAAAGUUUUUCUGCACUCUUUCAACCUUAUUUACGUCUUUCCUGUAGGUUGGUGACCAAAACUGUGCUCAUAAUACACCAAACUAGGCUUCACCAAAAUCAUAACAUUCUGUACUCACUGUAAUCUAUGAAGUGCAAUGUGCCAGAACCUUUCAUUAUGGCCCUAUCUACCUGUGAUGUCACUUUCAAUGCAUUACGGACCUUGGUUCCACUACACUCCUCAGUGCUUGACUCACCGUGUAAGACCUACUCUGGUUGGAAUGGAUCGAACUUCAGGCUCAGUACAAUAUAUAGAUGUAUCAUCAUAGUGUUUUAUUAGGAAUAUUGAUCCAAGAUCAAUUUCUAUGCAAGUCCAUUUGGAUAGAAGAGGAAACAGAAUAAUGACAGAAACUAGAACAACUUCUGAUUAAAACAGGUUUUUCCUCCUCUGGAAAAAUAAAGAUGAGCACAGUCCACUUAAAUUAUGCGUAUCAAAUUAAUUCAAGCGGUCACCAGACUGGAUCCUGUCAUAAUAAGUGACCUUACUUUACAUAGAUACAAAAUGAACCAAGCUUGCCUAACACGGUCUAAUUGUCCCAUAGUCUCACCUGGAAACUGUAUUUGGUCUUAAUUAACAUCCUUCAAGGCAGGUGCCAUCCUUGUGAAUCUCCUCUGCAUUCUCUCCAGUAGAUCAAUUAUAGAGCAUAACAGAAUCCUAGAUGUCAUGCCUAGGUAUUUGAUGGAGCACCAUCAAAAAUGUACAAGCAACCUUAGCUCACCAACUUCCACAAGAAGCUGUUUAUUGCUGCAUGCAGUAUCAUUUUGCUCCCAUGAUCACACAAACGGACAGUCCCAAGCCUGGCUGCAGAAGGAGUAGGACUGAGCACGGGAACUAGCAACCCCAUCCUGUAAAAAAAACUCAGAGCUACAGAAACACCAAGAGAUGUUCUAAAGACCUCAUCCCUGGGAGAGGAAGGAUCUUGACAACUUGAAAGACUGCCCCAGGACAGAGGACUCUGGUAGACUAUGCCCCAGUAGGGGGGAUGAGCUUAAGUACAAAUACACACUUACGGAAAUGCACAAGAGUUUUUGGUUACUUUGAUUUAGAGAGGCACCUUGUUACUUCCAUUCUUUAGCACUGGGAAUGGUUAUGACAACUCCAAAUUUAAUUAUUAUCUUAUAGUGUUUUUUGAGUAUUCAGUUUCAUGAGAGCUCCUUCACACUUCAGGUUUGGAAGAUUUUAAUCCCAUAUUUGUACUGUGCUUCUGCUAUGCAACAUAGAAAUAAUGAGUUAAAAAAAAAAUGAGACUCUGCGUGCUGGAAAUCCAGAACAACACAAAAACACAAAUUGCUGGAGGAGCUCAGCAAGUCAGGAAGCAUCUAUGGAGGGGAAUAAACAGCCGAUGUUUUUGGGCCUUCAUCAGGACUGCAAAGGGAGGGGUUAGGAGCCAGAAUAAGUUUGGGGGGGGGGGGGUGGUUGAAGAGAGAACAGAAAGUAAAAGCUGGCAGGCGAUAGGUGAAUCCAGGUGAGGGGGGGGGGAAUUAAGUGAGAAGAUGGGAGGUGAUAGGUGGAAAAGGUAAAGGGCUUAAGGAGUCUAAUAGGAGAGGUGAGUAGAGCAUGGGAGAAAGAAAAGGAGGGAGGUAUAUUCUGCUCCCAUUAACAAGAAAAUUAUUUUUUUAUGAUGCCCCCUUUUAUACAGGCUGGUCCAACACUGCAGAAAUUUUGUUGCUUUUAUAUUUUACUGAGUUGCAUUUUCCUCAUUAACCAUUUCAGGGACCAGCUGGAAAGAAGCAUUCCUGAGGCACACCAUUCUCCACUGCAUCAGACUGGGGGGGGGGGGGGGGAAGAGACUCCAGGUCACAUCAUCUGCUCAGUCUCUGCCCUCAUUCCUUUGGGGGUUCUCCGAAGUUCUCAAACAUCCUCUUCAUUCAAACUUCAAAGUAUCAGAGGAACACCACUGGUCAGUUAGUAGCUUGGGAAUUCAUUUCUUUUUUUUAAAAAGGUCAGAGCAUUUACGAUUAUGGUAAGAGACGCCAUGUUCUCUUCUCACUGCUCCCACCAGGAAGUAGCACAGAGCUGGAGACCACACCACUAGGUUCAAGAGCAGUUAUUACCCCUCAACCAUCAGGCUCCUGAACCUGCAUGGACAACUUCACUCACCUCAACACUGAACUGAUUCCACAACCUAUGGACUCACUUUCAAAGACUCUACAACUCAUGCUCUCAGUAUUCUUUAUAUCUGCACAGCUUAACUUCUUUUGCACGCUGGCUGUUUGUCAGUCGGCUUCUGUGUAGUUUUUCCAUUGAUUCUAUUUUAAUUCUUUUUAAGUUUUAUUUUAUUUUAAGUUGCAUGCCAUCUUGGACAAUGUCUCUCAUCCACUCCAUAAUGUACUGGUUAGGCACAGGAGUACAUUCAGCCAGAGACUCAUUCCACCGAGAUGCAACAUUGAGCGUCAUAGGAAGUCAUUCCUGCCUGUGGCCAUCAAACUUUACAACUCCUCCCUCGGAGUGUCAGACACCCUGAGCCAGUAGGCUGGUCCUGGACUUAUUUCCACUUGGCAUAAUUUACUUAUUAUUAUUUAUGGUUUUAUAUCACUAUAUCUCUACACUAUUCUUGGUUGGUGCAACUGUAAUGAAACCCAGUUUCCCUUGGGAUCAAUAAAGUAUGUCUGUCUCUCUGUCUUUGCAAAUACCCACAAGAAAAUGAAUUGCAAGGUACUAUAUGGUGACACAUUUUGAUAAUCAAUUCAUUUUGAACUUUAGCAACAACUGGUGGAGAGAGAAAAAAAACUUAGAGAUAAUGGGGAGAAAGAGGGUAAGAGACCAGAACCAGAGGCUUUAAGGCAUGGGUCCCUAACCUUUUUUUUAGGUCAUGGACCAACACCAUUAAGGGGUCUGUGGACUGCAGGUUGGGAACUCCUGGUUCAGAGAUUUACAGACAAGGUUUUGAACACAUGAAUUUGCUGAUUAUGCCUAAACCAAAUAAAGUAUUAUGAUAAUAAAUUAACUUUAAACUUUGAAUACCCACAACUGGUGGAGGGAAGGAAAUUUGAAGGUGGUUGGAAGUAUUGUUAAGAGGCCAGAACUGAGGGCUUUGGGGAUUUACAGACAAGGUUUUAAACACAGAAUUUUGCUGCUUACUCCCAUUCCAAAUACAGUACUCUAAUAAUAAAUUUACUUUGAAUUCUGUAGCUGCAAAUAUCACUCGGUAGUAAACGCAGCAUGAAUGAACAACAUGAAGAGCAUGACCCCUGGAAACAACACUCUCAUCCUCAAAGGAAAAUGCUCGUUAAAAAAAAAACCAAAUUGAUCCCUUCUAAUUAAAAUGAUAGAAGCUUAACACAACCUGCAGGGCAGAAACCAGAGACCUCUCUUGCAGAGUCCUUUGAACAACUGUUGUCUUUAUUUAAGAGGCUGUUAAAAGCAAGUACUUAAUCACACUGACACUGGAUUGAAGGGAAGAGGACUUAACGAACAUUGCAUGGAUCAGUUUUAAUUUUCAACAGAUUCAAGCAGGAGGCUAAUUGGACUGACUACUAAACUGGUUACUGGCUUGAGAGAAAUGUGUUAAAACAAUUAAUCUCAAUUAACUAAAGAUAUAGUUGCAAUUAAGUAAAAGAAAGAACAGCUGCACUUGGCCACUCAGAUGUCUUCAUCUGGGCAUGAUGAACAUGCUUUCAAUCCGUUAACCAUUUGCAGCCUGUGAUUGUCCACGCUCCCUCCUAUUACAUCAGUGCUAGCCUAUGGCUUCAUUGAUUGAUUGGGUGGUUAAGGCGGCAGAAAGCAGGUUUCGCUUUAUUAGUCGAGGCACUGAGUUCAAAAGUCAGGGAGUUGCAUUGCAGCUUAAUAGAACGUCAGUUAGGCUGCAUCUGGGGUACUGCAUACAGUUGUGGUCGCCCCGUUAUAGGCAGGGUGAGCUGGCUUUGGAGAGGGUGCAGAAGGUGCUUAACCAGGGCGUUGCUUGGAUUAGAGGGCAUGUCAAAGGGGUUAUAUUCCCUGGAGUGACAGAGGCUGAGGGGAGAUCUGACAGAGGUUUACUAGAGGCCUCGAUAGAAUAAACAGACAAUAACCCUGUGGGGUGAAAUGUCUAAUACCAGAAGGCGAGGGGUGUAAUUUCAAAGGAGAUGUGAGGGGCAAGUUUUUUUGUUUUUUUUAAAAACAGAAAAUAUAUACACAGAGUGUCGUGAGUGCCUGGGGUGGUGGUAGAAGCAGACAGUAACUUUUUAAGACAUGUCUAGCUGGGCACACAAAUGUGAGGAACAUGGAAGGAUAUGGACAUCAUGUAGGGAGAGUAGAUUUGUUUAGUUGGCCAUUUAAUUAUUAAUUUGGCUGGUUCAGCAGAACAUUGUGGGCUGAAGGGUCUGUUCCUGUGUUGCACUGUUCUAUGUCAGGCAAACAGCUCCUUAUCACGCAAUAAAAUCACUGCCAAUGCAACCGAACAGAGAAGACAUUUUGAAAUAAAUUGUUCAGUGGAUUAAAAACAACAGGAGACAGAGGCCAGCAACAACCUGCUCAGACCCAGUCGGAGUCCGGGCAGCUGAAACCAGUAUCAGUUCGCUGUGCCCAUCAAUCCUCUCUACUGACAAUUUAAAUCGAUUGCCAAGUGCAAAGGUCACUCACUUCAAAUUAAACCAGCAUCGUUUGCAGAGAGCGUCUGGGAACUCUUGACUGGAAAUUAUGCUUUCAUCUCUGCUUGUAGAUGUUAAAAAGAGACAAGGUCUAAUUAUUACUUUGGUAAAUGCAACCAUGUUUCAAACCCUGCCAGAGUUACCAAAAGUCUCUCCCCUGGACAUAACCCACUUUUUGGCCACGCUAUUACAGCUGAGGGCAGUCUGGAGUUUGGAGUUCAAUGCUGGCACCCUCUGAACGUCCACUUUGCUCUGUUCCUUCUAUCCUGUCGUCGGGACAUGGAAGGCAGAACAUCAUGCAGAAAAUUACAAUUUGAAGAAUGGAACUGCUGAGCAUUCUUGAAGUGUUGAAGUACUGAAAGGUAAUCCCAGGUAGCCUCGAUGAUGUUGGGAUCAGCGCUCUGUGGAGGCCACACCAUCUGAAACCAAGGGCUACUGGCCAAGGAAGUGAGCAGCUCUACAGAAACAAGAGAUGAGAAAUGCUGGAAUCUGGAUCAACAAACAAAAUGCGGGAAGAACCAACCAAAACCAUGGAUAAUCUUUCCUGAGGCUCAUCCACUGCCAGGGUGCUGGGACCAAUGGAUGCCAGAAAAUAUGGACAGCAAUGUGAGCAGAAAUGACUGAAUGUAAGUUUUGCGGUCCCAUGCCAUGCCAUGCCAGCCAUCCGGCCCAAACCAGCACACGGUGACCAGCUGCCCAUCCAGGGACACACACUCUGACAAAUAUCAAGUGCCACUGGUAAGUCAUUGACUCAUUGAGUCCCAUCGUAAAUCGGGGGACCGCUUUGUCGAGCACCUCCUCUCCAUCCAACAAAAGCAGGGCUACCCGGUGGCCAGACAUUUUAAUCUGAUGUCCAUCCCCGUUCCGAUGUGUCUCCUCUUGUUCCAAGAUGAGGCCAGCCUCAGGGUGGAGGAGCAACACCUUAUAUUCCGUCUGGGUAGCCUCCAACCUGAUGGUAUAAAUACUGACUUCUCCUUCCGGUAAAAAAAUUUCCCUCUCCCUCUCCUCUUCUUGUAUUCCCUACUCUGACCUCUUAUCUUUUCUCACCUGUCUACCACCUCCCCCUGGUGCCCCUCCUCCUUCCCUUUCCCCUAUGAUCUCCUCUCCUCUCCUAUCCGAUUCCUCCCUCCCUAGCCCUUGACCUUUCCCACCCACCUGGCUUCACCUUUCACCUUCCAGCUAUCCUCCAUCUCCUCCCUCUCACCUUUUUACUUUGACGCCUACCCCCUUCCUUGACAGUUCUGAAGAAGAGCCUUGGCCUGAAAUGUUGACUGUUGAUUCAUUUCCAUAGAUGCUACCCGACCUGCUGAGUUCCUCUGCACUUUGUGUGUGUUGCUCUGGUCUGCUGUUGCUGCUGUUCGUGUUGUUGUGUUGAACACUGUAGUCACGCUCUGUUGACUGAACGCAAAAGCUGCUGGAGGAACCAGGUUAGUAGGAAAAGAA